CAAUAGCGUAUAUUAAAGUUGUUGCAGUUAAAAAGCUCGUAGUUGGAUUUCUGGCUAGGUGAAGCGUUCCCCAAGUUGGGUGCGAUGCGGCGCCUUGCCAUCCUUCUGUCAACCUUCGCCUUCUUCAUUGGGGGCGCUGGGGCUCAGAUAUUUUACCUUGAGAAAAUUAGAGUGUUUCAGGCAGGCUUUCGCCGGAAUACAUUAGCAUGGAAUAAUGGAAAAGGACUUCAACCUCUUCUGUUGGUCUGAGAGGCUGUAGUAAUGAUUAAUAGGGAUAGUUGGGGGCAUUAGUACUUAACUGUCAGAGGUGAAAUUCUCCGAUUUGUUAAAGACUAACUUAUGCGAAAGCAUUUGCCAAGGAUGUUUUCAUUAAUCAAGAACGAAAGUUAGGGGAUCGAAGACGAUUAGAUACCGU
rnacentral:rRNA from 1 species